CGAAUUCAUGGUUCAUGCACACAAUGUUGCAAGUCUUCUACUUAUUUCCAUGCCAUGUGUGCAUCAAGGGCUGGCUACCGAAUGGAGUUGCACAUUUCGGAGAAAAAUGAUAAACAGACAACAAAAAUGGUUUCCUAUUGUGCUUAUCACAGGGCUCCCAAUCCAGACACUGUUUUGAUUAUGCAAACCCCCCCC